rnacentral:rRNA from 1 species
UACAGAGGGGGCCAGCGUUAUUCGGAAUUAUUGGGCGUAAAGGGCGCGUAGGCGGCUUUGCGUGUCUUUCGUGAAAUCCCUCGGCUCAACUGAGGACGUGCGGAAGAAACUGCAGGGCUGGAGUCCGGGAGAGGAGGGUGGAAUUCCCAGUGUAGCGGUGAAAUGCGUAGAUAUUGGGAGGAACACCGGUGGCGAAGGCGGCCCUCUGGACCGGUACUGACGCUGAUGCGCGAAAGCGUGGG